rnacentral:rRNA from 1 species
UGCGUAGGCGGGUUUCUAAGUCAGAGGUGAAAGCCUGGAGCUCAACUCCAGAACUGCCUUUGAUACUGGAAGUCUUGAGUAUGGCAGAGGUGAGUGGAACUGCGAGUGUAGAGGUGAAAUUCGUAGAUAUUCGCAAGAACACCAGUGGCGAAGGCGGCUCACUGGGCCAUUACUGACGCUGAGGCACGAAAGCUGGGAGCAAACA